UACGGUGGGUGCGAGCGUUGUCCGGAAUCACUGGGCGUAAAGGGCGCGUAGGCGGCGCGGGGAGUCAACGGUGAAAGCUCGGCGCUCAACGCCGAGUCGGCCGUCGAUACUCCCGUGCUCGAGCACUGUAGAGGCAGGUGGAAUUCCGGGUGUAGCGGUGGAAUGCGUAGAGAUCCGGAAGAACACCGGUGGCGAAGGCGGCCUGCUGGGCAGUAGCUGACGCUGAGGCGCGACAGCGUGGGGAGCAAACAGG
rnacentral:rRNA from 1 species